rnacentral:sRNA from 1 species
UGUGGUUAUAAGUCUUCAUGUAGAUGAGCGAUUCAAGUUAGGUUUCUUCAUUUGGAAUAAAACAACUCUUUCACCUUUAGAGUUUCAGCUAAGUGUUUGUCCCAGACGUUGUAACGGCUCCUUGUAUGUGCCUGGUAAUGAGACUAUGUUUUGCUUCGAAUGCCAGAGAUGUCAUUGCGAGAGACCAGCUUGUGACAUCUAUGGUCUCUGCUGUCCUGAUAUUUCUGUUCCAGUCUAUGACCUUGAGAAACGGUACGGAAAUGAAAUACCAUCAACACUGAACACUAAAAUUAGAUCCAGAGGUCCGUUAUUAGGCUGCUAUAGCUUCACUUUCGUACGGUCAUGUUCAACUGACUAUAAAGGAAACCAAACUAUAAAAGACUUAUGUCAAGAAGAGUUGCCACAAAAGUCUCGAGCACAAGUUACGUAUAUUCAAAAAAAACAAGAUGGCUCAAUCACAAUAUUUAAAUCUACAUAUUGAAGAAAACUUCGAUUUGGGUGAUACUUUUUACAAAAACCUGUACUGUGCUCUAUGCAACAAUGUCGAUCAGAAAACGUUGAUUAAAGUAAAUUUCACUAUUGCACUUCCCAACCUCAACACUGAUGCAAGAAGUAAUUUGAAAAUGGUAAAAUGUUUCAAUCAAAGAUUGUUCAGAAACGCACCAUUACCUAACAGAGCUUACAAUUACAUACGCCUUGACCAAGAUAUAGUACAUGCAUGUCUUCAGUUACAUGACGAUCUAUUUGUUCUAGAGU